AGAGUUUGAUCAUGGCUCAGAACGAACGCUGGCGGCAGGCUUAACACAUGCAAGUCGAACGAGAAGCUGGAGCUUGCUCCAGUGGAAAGUGGCAGACGGGUGAGUAACGCGUGGGAAUCUACCUAGUGGUACGGGAUAACGUUUGGAAACGAACGCUAAUACCGCAUACGCCCUUCGGGGGAAAGAUUUAUCGCCAUUAGAUGAGCCCGCGUUAGAUUAGCUUGUUGGUGAGGUAAAAGCUCACCAAGGCUCCGAUCUAUAGCUGGUCUGAGAGGAUGAUCAGCCACACUGGGACUGAGACACGGCCCAGACUCCUACGGGAGGCAGCAGUGGGGAAUAUUGCACAAUGGGCGCAAGCCUGAUGCAGCCAUGCCGCGUGAGUGAAGAAGGCCUUAGGGUU
rnacentral:rRNA from 1 species